rnacentral:rRNA from 1 species
GAUGAACGCUGGCGGCGUGCCUAAUACAUGCAAGUCGAGCGAACAGACGAGAGUGCUUGCACUCUCUGACGUUAGCGGCGGACGGGUGAGUAACACGUGGGUAACCUACCUAUAAGACUGGGAUAACUUCGGGAAACCGGAGCUAAUACCGGAUAAUAUUUAGCUUCGCAUGAAGCAAUAGUGAAAGACGGUUCUGCUGUCACUUAUAGAUGGACCCGCGGUGUAUUAGCUAGUUGGUGAGGUAACGGCUCACCAAGGCAACGAUACAUAGCCGACCUGAGAGGGUGAUCGGCCACACUGGGACUGAGACACGGCCCAGACUCCUACGGGAGGCAGCAGUAGGGAAUCUUCCGCAAUGGACGAAAGUCUGACGGAGCAAUGCCGCGUGAGUGAAGAGGGUUUUCGGAUCGUAAAACUCUGUUGUAAGGGAAGAACAAGUACGUUAGUAACUGAACGUACCUUGACGGUACCUUACCAGAAAGCCACGGCUAACUACGUG